CCCAUGUUUGUGUCAUGCACAUCAACAACUCCAAUGCUUAUCACAAGCCAACCCCACACACACAACAUGCUCUCUCUCAUAUUAAACAUGAGGAGGAGCACAAGUGUUGCAAAGUGGGGCUGCCACCCACACGCAUAUCCUCACCACAACCUCAUCUAGGUGCACAUGAGGGCUUCCUUCUUGCACAAAUGAAGGUGCCAACACUUGCACACACCAAGUGCACAAUGCACCACAACUCCACUCACUUGUGCUUGCAUCUGCACUAGCACUAGCACUCACACACACACACUCACAAGUAUCUAGGGCACACACACUCACAAACACAUCAUGCUCGAGAUCAAAUCCACACACUUACUUAUGUAAUCAAAGCAACCAUCACUAGAACAAGAACUACUAUACUUAUACACACACCACCUAGUGCAACAUCAAAUGCAAGCACCUACAACAAAGAAGUACCUACACAUGUUACCACUACACUUGCUAUCAUAUCUUAGGAUCAACUUCUAGGAAGUACCACCAUACACACAAUCUAGUGCAACUAAACCCAUAUGUAU
rnacentral:lncRNA from 1 species